GACAGAGGAUGCAAGCGUUAUCCGGAAUGAUUGGGCGUAAAGCGUCUGUAGGUGGCUUUUUUAAGUCCGCCGUCAAAUCCCCAGGGCUCAACCCUGGACAGGCGGUGGAAACUACCAAGCUGGAGUACGGUAGGGGCAGAGGGAAUUUCCAGUGGAGCGGUGAAAUGCGUAGAUCUUGGAAAGACCACCAAUGGCGAAGGCACUCUACUGGGCCAUGACUGACACUAAGAGACGAAAGCUAGGGGAGCAAAUGGG
rnacentral:rRNA from 1 species